rnacentral:rRNA from 1 species
CCUACGGGAGGCUGCAGUGAGGAAUAUUGGUCAAUGGGCGAGAGACUGAACCAGCCAAGCCGCGUGAAGGAUGAAGGAACUGUGUAUUGUAAACUUCUUUUAUAUGGGAAUAAAGUGUGGAACGUGUUCCUUUUUGUAUGUACCAUAUGAAUAAGCAUCGGCUAACUCCGUGCCAGCAGCCGCGGUAAUACGGAGGAUGCGAGCGUUAUCCGGAUUUAUUGGGUUUAAAGGGUGCGUAGGUGGUUCAUUAAGUCAGCGGUGAAAGUUUGUGGCUCAACCAUAAAAUUGCCGUUGAAACUGGUUGUCUUGAGUAGAUUUGAGGUAGGCGGAAUGCGUGGUGUAGCGGUGAAAUGCAUAGAUAUCACGCAGAACUCCGAUUGCGAAGGCAGCUUACUAAA